ensembl:lncRNA
UUAGUUCCUGUGUUCCUGGGCGUGUUUGGUGAGGUAUUGUUCUAUGUUUGGUGUUGUAUGAAGAAGCUGUCUGCACGUUUACGGUUAGCGCUUGUACGCCCUUUACUUUAUGCGUGCUUUUCUGAAAAAAUAGAAACCGCUACAUUACCUCCCUCCCUGCGUUUGGCUCCCUUUUUUUACGCACACCACAACGACACUGUGACACACCCACUCACCUGUCUCCUCCCAUCUACCACACCUCAGACUUUCCUCCAUUUUCUCGAAAUUGAAACUAUAAGUUACAGCAAACCACGAGUAGUUGGACGAUGAUCAGUCUUGUUUAAUGUGUAUUAGCCAUGACAUACAUGGACCAACAUCAUUAUUUCUAGAACACCUAUUGUCAAUUGAACUGUCAUGGCAUCAUCAGAUUUUGUCAGAGACAUAUUGACAAAGUGGGACCUCAGUCAAUGGAUUAAGAAUUUUGAAGAGCAAGAAAUAGACAAAGAAGGUUUUCUUUUACUGGAAGAGAAAGAUUUCAUCCACUUGAUCCCAAAAAUAGGUCCUCGGACAAAAUUUGCCCACAAACACAAACUUCUAAAGGAACAGAACAAACACAGCAAUGUUGAUGAGAACUUUGAAGUGGCCACGUCAUCAACAGCUUCCAUUAAAACAGCCAAGAGUUCCUCAGGAAAUAGUAUGCCCUCAACCAGUGUGGAUAAACUUCUUUCAGAGAAAAGGAAACAUGAGGUAGCCAAUGCAAACAUGCAACGAAAGAAGCAGAAGUGUAUGGCUGCAUCCAUCGAUCUACCUCCAAUGUUUGACAGUGAACAAAAGGCAGAGGUGAAGAAGAUAAUGCAAAGAGUCCGAGGCAAGCUGGAUAGAAUGCCUUCUACAAAACUUACUGACUUCCUCAGAAGUAAAAUUGAUGUGUUGGAUGAAGACAGAAAAGAGAUGGUGGGUGUUUUUGGGAAGACUGGAGCUGGUAAGAGCUCCUUAAUAAACGCCAUCUUGGGUAAGACGAAACUGCUUCCUUCUGGAAACCAAGGGGCGUGUACCUCAGUGAUGAUUCAGGUGGAGGCCAAUAUGAUUAAUGAGAAAUACAUCGCAGAGAUUGAAUUCAUUACAGUGCAGGUAAUAGUAUAUGUUCCUUCUGUUUAUGUCCUAUAACACAAUGUUUUGGUAUGUGGUGUCUUGGGGAAUAGUACAAUUAGUAAUAGACUUUGAAACAUUUGGGAACCUACUGCAAACCAAAGUCUGAAUCAAUGUCUGUCACUAAUUUACCCAUUGCAUUAUAAGGAGCAAAUUGCACAGUAGAAAUAACAACAAUACAAUGUCAAUUAACAACAUGUUUUUUUUCGUGCUUGCUUUUUAAAUAUUUAAUAGAAUAUCAACCAGUUUGCGCUCCCUGUAGAUUAAAAAAACUGUGACCACAAAUAUAUUUGCUUAAGUUAGAUAUCAACAGGAAAUUUAGAAUGGAACAACCAUUUCAAAUACAGGUGAAAUAAGUUCAAGUAAAACAUUAAUAGUUUAGGGAAAUGUGUUUUAUUUGUAGUUGAGUUGUAGUUUAUUUGUAUGAUUGUGUGCAACUCAACUUAUCAUGAAAAAACACAUACAUUAUAACAAGCAAUUAUAGAAGUUAGCCUGCAACAUAACCUGCUGGGAAAUAUUAAUAGGAUUGCCGUCUUUUUAUUUAACAAUAGUGCUUAGUAAUGGACACAACUAGUUCAGCCAGGGAACCUGAGCGUCAUUGGCUCAGCAUUGCAUAAGCUGACAUCAAAAUCGAAUCUCAAGAUUCCUUAUCUUAUAUGGCGGUCUAUUCAAGUUGGUCAGGGUACUCAUUCUGUCUGCUUUUCUGCAAGUCAUCUUGCAUGUGGUUGCUAAAUCCUCUAACCACCCCAGCCUCCACCUGUCCGUUUUGUUUCCUUCUGCGGGGUGAUUGGUACUGCGUACCUUGCUCAUUGCCAUCGGUAUUGCUAUUAUAAUAUUGCAGUGUUAAUGUUAAUAGUAGUAUUUUGUACACCAUCAUGUGAUGGCAGUGAGUUACACCAAAGGAACCGAACUUAACACCAAGGUGUCUUAUGUGAAUGUGUCUUUAAUAAUGGUUAAAAGAAGAAUGUGGUGUUUCUUGCAUGAAUUGUGUGUCGUUGAUAAGGAACAAGGAGCCUAGCUUGUGUGAGCUGUACUUAUACUGUAAUUAGGACAAAUUAACCUUUACCCCAUUUGACCAAAUCACUUCCAUUACAAUAAUACUAUGCAGUAUACAACAGUGUUCUUCACAAUAUUUCUGAUGGGGUUGCAGUACAAACAGAAAUGAAGGACCAGAAACCGACAAGGACAGCAGAAUAACCCAAGCUGAAACACCUGGGUGAAUCUUGUGAGCAAUUGUUGGAAAGAGGUUGUCAAAGCUGGAUCAUAAGAAACAAGAAACUAGGCAUGUCUAGUUCAGCCGGCCUGCAAUAAAAAGUGAUCAGUUUUGAUUCAAACCCAGGUCUCCCACGUAAGAGGCUGUGUCUUUAACCACUAUGCCACGCAGCUUUAUGUCUGCUACGCAUUUUGUCACAUAUUAACAUCAGUUUGAAUGUGUCACUAGAUGCCAGUAAGCACUGUGUUAAACUGACUAAUGUUUAUUAUUAAGAUUACCUCCACCACAAAUAGCAUCAAUGAACAGUAUGGCUUUUGCUACUGGCGGUUUUAACAGCUUAUUAGCCAUUCAUGAAUGACACUGAUACAAUAACUAUCAAUAUAGGUGACAAUAACUUUUUUGUCAAGUAAAAAGACGAGAGAAUCGUGUAGCCAGCGAAAUGUUUGUCUAUCCUGCCAAAUCCUAAUUCUGAAAAAAAAACGACAUGAUACUAAGUAACCAUGGAAUUAUGAUAUAAAUCAUGAAAUUAUGACAAAG